CGCAGCCGCGGUAAUUCCAGCUCCAAUAGCGUAUAUUAAAGUUGUUGCAGUUAAAAAGCUCGUAGUUGAAUUUCGGGAUCAAUAUGUUGGUCGUGCCUCGGUACGUACUAGCUUAUUGGUUUCUCCUUUCUGAAGAACCAUGAUGUCAUUUAUUUGGUGUCGUGGGGAAUCAGGACUGUUACUUUGAAAAAAUUAGAGUGUUUAAAGCAGGCUCACGCUUGAAUACAUUAGCAUGGAAUAAUGAAAUAGGACGUUUGAUUCUAUUUUGUUGGUUUCUAGGAUCGACGUAAUGAUUAAUAGGGAUAGUUGGGGGCAUUAGUAUUCAAUUGUCAGAGGUGAAAUUCUUGGAUUUAUUGAAGACUAACUACUGCGAAAGCAUUUGCCAAGGAUGUUUUCAUUAAUCAAGAACGAAAGUUAGGGGAUCGAAGACGAUCAGAUACCGUCGUAGUCUUAACCAUAAACUAUGCCGACUAGGGAUCGGGAUGAUG
rnacentral:misc_RNA from 1 species